CCUACGGGAGGCAGCAGUGGGGAAUAUUGCACAAUGGGGGAAACCCUGAUGCAGCGACGCCGCGUGAGUGAAGAAGUAAUUCGUUACGUAAAGCUCUAUCAGCAGGGAAGAAACACUGACCUUACGGUCAGCAGACGGUACCUGAGUAAGAAGCCCCGGCCAACUACGUGCCAGCAGCCGCGGGAAUACGGAGGGGGCAAGCGUUAUCCGGAUUUACUGGGUGUAAAGGGAGCGUAGACGGUGCGCCAAGGCUGGAGUGAAGUGGCGCAGCUUAACUGCGGAACUGCUUUGGAAACUGGCGGACUAGAGUGCGGGAGGGGUAGGCGGAAUUCGUAGUGUAGCGGUGAAAUGCGUAGAUAUUAGGAGGAACACCGGUGGCGAAGGCGGCUUACUGGACCGUAACUGACGUUGAGGCUCGAGAGCGUGGGGAGCAAACAGGAUUAGAUACCCCGGUAGUC
rnacentral:rRNA from 1 species